rnacentral:rRNA from 1 species
UACGGGGGGGAGCAAGCGUUGUUCGGAUUUACUGGGCGUAAAGGGCGCGUAGGCGGCGUGACAAGUCACUUGUGAAAUCUCCGGGCUUAACUCGGAACGGUCAAGUGAUACUGUCGUGCUAGAGUACAGAAGGGGCAACUGGAAUUCUCGGUGUAGCGGUGAAAUGCGUAGAUAUCGAGAGGAACACCUGCGGUGUAGACGGCUUACUGGACCAUAACUGACGCUGAGGCACGAAAGCGUGGGUAGCAAACAGG